rnacentral:rRNA from 1 species
UAAUACGUAGGGGGCAAGCGUUGUCCGGAAUCAUUGGGCGUAAAGGGCGCGUAGGCGGAUAUUUAAGUCUGGUGUGAAAGCUCAGGGCUCAACCCUGGGACUGCAUCGGAAACUGGGUAUCUUGAGGACAGGAGAGGAAAGUGGAAUUCCACGUGUAGCGGUGAAAUGCGUAGAUAUGUGGAGGAACACCAGUGGCGAAGGCGACUUUCUGGACUGUAACUGACGCUGAGGCGCGAAAGCGUGGGGAGCAAACAGGAUUAGAUACCCUGGUAGUCCACGCCGUAAACGAUGAGUGCUAGGUGUAGAGGGUAUCGACCCCUUCUGUGCCGCAGUAAACACAAUAAGCACUCCGCCUGGGGAGUACGGCCGCAAGGUUGAA